UCCGGAAGUCAGGGCAGCGGCGCUUCUGGUCCCCCAGACUUGGGGCUCUCGGGCUUCUGAGCGCUUCGGGUUCCGCGCUGCCGGGAGGGCUUGAGGGCGCCUUAGAGCCCGACGCCGUUUUUUCAGGAAAGGGCGCUGCGAUCGCCCCCGUCCCGAGCCUCAGCCCCUCUGCUGCAGACCCUCGGGAUCCUCGAUGGAAAGAUUCUGGAGCUUUGCCGGGAGGGGUGUGUGAGUGGAGACCCGUGAAGUAACAGUUUUUGUGUUACGAUGAUUUCUGUUUUCCUC